CGGACGUCGGGUAACCGUGCCUCACACAGGGGAGUAGCAGUUGGAAACGGCUGAUAAUACCGCAUAAGCGCACAGUACCGCAUGGUACAGUGUGAAGAACUCCGGUGGUGUGAGAUGGACCCGCGUCUGAUUAGCUAGUUGGCAGGGUAACGGCCUACCAAGGCAACGAUCAGUAGCCGACCUGAGAGGGUGACCGGCCACAUUGGGACUGAGACACGGCCCAG
rnacentral:rRNA from 1 species